GAAGGUGUUUGUAUAUAAAGACCAGUCACUCUGUGCUGAAGGAAUUCGCAAUUCAUUCAAUCACAGGGUGCGUCAAUGGAGGCGCAGAGGAAGCUUUGUAGCCAUAGCCAUUUCUCUACUUCCAAAACCUAACGAAAGAGACGAUCAAAAUCCCAAUCCAACUUCAAUGUCAUUACCACUCUCUAUCUCUUCUUCUCGCCGCCGUCUCCAUCCCUCCAGAGCGCACAGGAAUCGCUUCUCGUUCGAUCAUAUCGCUCUGUAUGAAUGAACUGAUUGCUUCGAAUGAUGCGGUUGUGAGAGAUUUGAUCGCGACCUUUGCGUAUUCGAAGAGAAGAGUUGCGUUGGCUGCUUGUACCGCUGUUAUGGAUUUGUCCACCGCGUUGAUUGGGUGGUAGAGGUCUCUCCCAUUGAGUGUCUUAUGUCUUCCUUCAGAGGCGAAAGUCUGAGGAUGAGAAUGAAAGGGAUCCACUGAAAGAAGAUAGAAGAGGGCAGUAAAGAGCAGGAAACAUUGAAUAAAAUGUGAGUAUUUCAUUUCUUGACCUUGUCUGCUAAAAUAAAGAUGAGGUUAUCUUGGGAUGGAAAGAGAUGGGUUUGCAGCAAUAUAUAUACGCCAGGCUUAUGAUUUUGUUGCUAAUUCAGAAUGAAACAGACACAAUACCAACCAAGAAUCCAGACAACUGCCUGUCUUCAACCCAUUUACUUUUUUUCAGCCGACUUAACUGGUUGAAAUUUCACGUGUUUGUUCCAUGCCAAACAGAACCUCUCAUGGCAUGGCCAGAUUGUUCAUCGCUGUUUUUACCCUUUGGCUCUCUCUCUCCCCCCUAUCUUUAUCCUGUCAGUUACAUGGUAAUAGAUGCUCGAUGCCAUUUUAGGAAAAAAAAAAUCCUGCAUUUUCUUUCCAGGUUUUAAAAAAAUGAAAAAAAAAAAACCCCACCCCAUCUUUUCGCUGUCUCUAGAUCUAUUUUUACCCAAGUGAUAAGUUUGGAUUGAGGAUGAUGGGUUUGGAUUGGGGAUGAUGGGUGUAAUGGCCCAAAGCCACAGAUUUCCGUUUCCAGCUUCCUGUUUUAAAACCCUUCUGCUAGGGAGAGUUUCCACACACUUAAAAAGAAUGUUCCGUUCCUCUAUUUAAUUGAUGUGGGCCUUCAUAAUCCACUCUCUCUGAGGCUAGUGUCACAAUUGCCUUUUCUUGGCAGCGGAUUUGGCGAUUGUACAGCACUCACUCUCAGCAUUGGGUGAGUCAAGCCAACUUUGGAUCACGUUGCCUACAGUUGGACAAUGUAUAUUCAAGCCUUGGGUCCUAAUUUGAAAAGAAAGUUUUAGAAAACGGAGGAGAGAUUUUGGAAAAAGAGUUUUGAAAGCAAGAGUGAUAGAGAGAUUGAGAGUGGUGUUAUAUAGCAUGGAAGUAAAAAGGCAACAACGACGGCUUAAAAACAGCAUAUAACUUUUUAGGGAGAAUUUGACAACUAGUCACAUCUCCACAUAGUACAUUUUGAGGUAUUUCAUGUCUAUCAAGCAUAGCCAUGAUUUCGCCAAAAUGUCAUACUCUUAAAGAAAAUAAGAAGGAAAUAAUACCACCUGAAAGAAGUAAAAGAAAGCGGUAAAGUAGUAUAAGGUAAGGGUUUCGGCAUAUAACGGACAUGCGACCAUGGACAACACGCAUUGGACAAGCAUGACUGAGACACCCGACAUACUCAUUGACACUCGUUCCCUUUCCAAUCAAUGUGGUACCCCCCAAUCCACCCCUUUUGGGGCCCAGCGUCCUCGCUAGCACAUCAUCUGGUGUCCACCCCCUUUGGGAUUCAGCCUCCUUAUUGGUACAUUGUCCGGUGUCUAGCUCUGAUACCAUUUGUAACAGCCCAAUCCUACCGCUAGCAAAUAUUGUUCCAUUUGGGCUUUUCCUUAUUGGCUUCCCAUUAAGAUUUUAAAACGCAUCUGUUAAUAAGAGAUUUUCACGCCCUUGUAAAUAAUGUUUCGUUCAUCUCUCAAAUUGAUGUGGAAUCU